CCGGAUUUAUUGGGUUUAAAGGGAGCGUAGAUGGAUGUUUAAGUCAGUUGUGAAAGUUUGCGGCUCAACCGUAAAAUUGCAGUUGAUACUGGUCGUCUUGAGUGCAGUAGAGGUAGGCGGAAUUCGUGGUGUAGCGGUGAAAUGCUUAGAUAUCACGAAGAACUCCGAUUGCGAAGGCAGCCUGCUAAGCUGCAACUGACAUUGAGGCUCGAAAGUGUGGGUAUCAAACAGGAUUAGAUACCCUGGUAGUCCACACAGUAAACGAUGAAUACUCGCUGUUUGCGAUAUACGGCAAGCGGCCAAGCGAAAGCGUUAAGUAUUCCACCUGGGGAGUACGCCGGCAACGGUGAAACUCAAAGGAAUUGACGGGGGCCCGCACAAGCGGAGGAACAUGUGGUUUAAUUCGAUGAUACGCGAGGAACCUUACCCGGGCUUGAACUGCCAGUGACUCAUGCAGAGACGCAUGUUUCUUCGGACACUGGCGGAGGUGCUGCAUGGUUGUCGUCAGCUCGUGCCGUGAGGUGUCGGCUUAAGUGCCAUAACGAGCGCAACCCUUAUCUUUAGUUACUAACAGGUCAUGCUGAGGACUCUAGAGAGACUGCCGUCGUAAGAUGUGAGGAAGGUGGGGAUGACGUCAAAUCAGCACGGCCCUUACGUCCGGGGCUACACACGUGUUACAAUGGCAUGUACAGAAAGCAGGGUGUAUGCAAAUACGCUCGAAUCCCUAAAACAUGUCUCAGUUCGGACUGGGGUCUGCAACCCGACCCCACGAAGCUGGAUUCGCUAGUAAUCGCGCAUCAGCCAUGGCGCGGUGAAUACGUUCCCGGGCCUUGUACACACCGCCCGUCAAGCCAUGAAAGCCGGGGGCGCCUAAAGUCCGUGACCGCGAGGGUCGGCCUAGGGUGAAACCGGUGAUUGGGGCUAAGUCGUAACAAGGUAGCCGUACCGGAAGGUGCGGCUG
rnacentral:rRNA from 1 species